rnacentral:lncRNA from 1 species
AGCCAUUUGUCAUCAGGUGCUGUUUUUCAUUUGCAUUGUAUUUUCCAGUUAACACUCCUCUCUCCAGCAUCUGAUUUCAUAGCAGGGAGAGCUAACAUUCCUAAGGACACAGGCAGUGGGAGCCAUGGGAUUUCUGCAAAAUCCUCACUAAUGUUGAAGGAAGAGACUAUCUUGGGAACACAGCCCCAUUUCUUGUCUUUGCUCAUAUCCAGAGACAACCGUGGUAAAACCUGCAGCCACACGUGCCCACAAAGAGCACGUUCUGUCUGACAUUUCAAGCCUUGCGUGAGGAUCCCAAACCAGCUUGUGUUUCAGCUGGGAGUGGAGCAGAACAGUACCAGAGCUGCUUAGCCAUGAACCAGGGAAACGUCAGCGCUAAACUCUACUUCAGAAUGGUCUAGGAUUCAGCAGAGCCGGCAGUGACAUUGGUGAAGCUGAUGGCUGAGGCCAACUGUGCACAUCUUAGAGGAAAUUUCAGCAGAAAUGAAUGGUGGUGAUGAAAGGUUAAUGGCAAGCAUUGGCACCACAGCCAUUUCCAGAAUACUCCAUCUCUCCCUCAAGCUCAGAAGUAUGCUUGUUGCAAAUUUGGCCAGGUGAUCAUGGGCACAUGGUAAGCAAAAUGAAGAAGUCUGAGUGGGACGGUUGUGAGAGAAUCUGUUCUUUUCUAGCAUGAAUAAAAUGCAAGCAACUCCUGGACUUGCCUGGAGCUUGCUUUGUCCGCUCUCUAGCUGUAAACAGUAAUUAAAACCUUGAGCUGUCGAAUCUGUUUUGUGACACUGUGGCUCGCUGUUUUGCAUCAAGUUUUAGUAUGAAAAGUCUCCUUGCUCUGUCUGCUCCUGGGCAACAGGCAGCACUUUUUCAUCUCUCUGAGGAUUUGGGAGGAGGACUUGUUGGAGGCAGCAAUGCCAUCUUGCUGCUUCUUCAUGACAUUUAAAGGCUUGAAGCAGAAAACCUGAGAUGAUACGAAAAAAGCAAAAGAAACAGGCACCUGUGAAAGAUUCCAUAAGCACAGAGUGCGGAGCCUUACUGAGAGCCAGAUUGAGAGAAAUACAAAAACUAAAAACUACCUUUGUGGAAUCAAAAAGGGUAUUUGAGGACCUGCAACAUAAUGCACUGGAACAUAAAAUUCUUCACCCAAUGGGAAGUGAGUGCUGUAUGUCUUCUAUGAAGUUGAAUAAACUUCUGCUCGUUUCAAUUAUGUUGCUGAAUCAAAAGACCAACUCCUAGGAACUGCUCACGAUCAGUUUAGCGCAGUGUUAUUGUUGUCAUUUAAUCUCACAGACCUGAAGAAGGAUUCAUAGUAGGAUGAAGACGGGGCUUCUCGAUGGUUGCUUUCACACCAGCUGACCACCUGCCUCCUUAAAUCUGGAAUUAAUGCAUGCACAGCAAGCAUAAGAAUAAACAAUGUAAGAUUUUACAUAAUUUCAUGCUUUCUAUGAAUUGUUUGAUGAUUUCAAAAUGACUGUUGUUGCAAGUAAGUUAUGGCUUGUGCUAUUCAAUUUAUAAAUGAUCUAAAAUAAAUUUCAUACAGUGACAGUUUUCUGAUGAUAUUAUUUACUUUAAAGAAAUCAAAAGUCAGCUAUAAAGAGAUGCAGAAGUAUCUCAUAGUACUGAAAUACUAUACAAAUUAAUAAGUCUAUAUAAAAUAAUAUACAUGGGACAAAAUCCUAACUUAGUGUGUAUCAUGAAUUGAUGGUUUGGGGUUCUUGGGAUUUGGGAUUUUGAUGAAUGGUUCUAUGAAAAUGUGGAGUUAACAUAUGAAUUCCUUAGAAGAAAAAAAAAAAAAAAGGAAUAUUAGGGAUUCUGAAGAAAGCAGUAGAAAACAAGGAGACAACUAUCAUCAUUUUGUCACCACUUAAUGGUGAUGAAUCUCUGAGGCACGUAUGCCUUGACCAUCCAGUGCAUUUAUGAUCACUUCACCUCAAAAAACAUAAUACAGCUGCAAAAGUCUCAGACAAGGGCAACAAAGGACAAGUGAACUUCUGGAAUGGCUUCUGAGCCGUGCAGGAACACUGAGCAGAUUACAGAGACAGCUUAGAGGGUAUACAACAG